AUUGAACGCUGGCGGCAUGCUUUACACAUGCAAGUCGAACGGUAACAGGUUAAGCUGACGAGUGGCGAACGGGUGAGUAAUGCAUCGGAACGUGCCCGAUCGUGGGGGAUAACAGCUCGAAAGAGCAGCUAAUACCGCAUACGACCUGAGGGUGCAAGGGGGGGAUCGCAAGACCUCUCGCUCUUGGAGCGGCCGAUAUCGGAUUAGCUAGUUGGUGAGGUAAAGGCCUACCAAGGCAACGAUCUGUAGUUGGUCUGAGAGGACGACCAGCCACACUGGGACUGAGACACGGCCCAGACUCCUACGGGAGGCAGCAGUGGGGAAUUUUGGACAAUGGGCGCAAGCCUGGUCCAGCAAUGCCGCGUGCAGGAAGAAGGCCUUCGGGUUGUAAACUGCUUUUGUCAGGGAAGAAAUCCUCUAGGUUAAUACCCUUGGGGGGAUGACGGUACCUGAAGAAUAAGCACCGGCUAACUACGUGCCAGCCGCCGCCGUAAUAC
rnacentral:rRNA from 1 species